UCUGUAAAGAGAGAAAUGUUUACAUUAAACAAGAGAGAAUGCUAUAAUCGAGUUUCCCGACUAUCUGAUACCCGUUACUCAGCUAGUGUGUAUUGGGGAAUAGAUUAAGAAAAAAUUUAAAAAUUAAACGUCACCGGUUCGGAGGCCUUAGGGUGUUAGAGUGGGCGUGCCAAAAAUAAUUUUUUGCAAAUCGAUAGAAAUUUACGCUUAGUGUAUAAUAAAGUUGUGACAAAAUAUCCAUUAAUUUUUAAAAAAGGUGGGCGGGUAUAAUUAUGUUCCCGUUCUAGUAACAUCCGUAAUUUUUGAAAUAUCUGAUUUUUCUGGUUCCUUUUCUUGGGCUGUUAAAAUAUUGGGCAUAGCUGAAGUUUGUAAUAAACAUGCAUAUGCAUUUUAAAUCCAGACUCUCCACUUUUAUAGGACCUAUGAGUCAUGCUCAAGAUCAUUUGUACCAAUCUAGAAAACGCCUUACUCGUAGCGCAAAGUCAUAUACAUAUACUAGUGAAGGGUAUAAUAAUCAUAUUACUCAACAGAUAUACGCGCAUAUAUGAACAAGUAAAAAAUAUAUAUAAAAGGGCUGUUCAAAAACCGGGAAAAUAUUUUAUUGGAUACAGAGUAAGCGAUGGCAUCUCGGUUACUUUAAUUUAUUUUUGCGAAAAAGUAACGAACAUUCUUAUAUCAUACAGGUCUAAUCUGCGUCAUCGAUUUUCCAACAAUUAGUUGCUCUUACCAUCUAUUUUACUUGCGAAGAUAGCACUGCCAGAUAAAGUUUCCAAUAUAUGUGGAGAAUGCAUUGAAGUGUCUGGAAUCUAGAUGGGGUCCCCAGAAUUAGAACUUUGUUCCCAGGUCGUCGAAGAGCUUUUUGAAGUCGUCAGUAGAGCAUUGAAAUUAUGGUGGAAUAGAUGCACGCAAUGGCUAUUUUACCAAGGUUUUGGAUUUAAUUCAAGUACCGCCAUUUAAGACAAGACAAUAGUUUGAAGUACGACCUAGAGCAAGUGUUGGUUGGGCUACGUUAAUAAUUGUGAUAAUUUUGAGACAAGGCGUAUCAUGGACACCAUCAUUUGGAAUGGAAUGCCAAUCUGAGAAACUAGGAUUGAUAGUCUUUCCUUGGAUUGGUCAUUGAACAUUUGCUGGGAUGUGGCAUUUUUGCGUGGACUUGCAAUAUGCUAAAAAUAAAAAAACGAUAAAACCUUAAUAAGUGGCUGUGUGGUUUUCGCAACAGUUAACACGUUAAACAUCCCUUACACAUCCAAGCCUUGUUUCAGACCACAUCUAAUAUGGGCAUAUGGGAAUAUUUUGGCAACAAUUUUUGGUGUUUUUAAAUGCUUGGCACCGAUAUAUAUCAACGUUUUUUAAGGGACUUCAACUUGAAACUCGUUGCCGACAGUGUUUUAAUAUCGUGGACUUCCUUGCUAUUAGCUGACGGUAACAAUUCAACAACUACUAGGUUGGCGAACUUGGUUUUGUGGAAGCGGCUUCUAGGUCUAGGUCUAUUAACAAAUUGCACCGCCAUUCAAGGGAGCAUUGCUGUUGGUAUUAUGGCUGAUAGUUUCUUUCAAACUCUGACAACGAAGAAUUAAGUGCCUGACUAAUUUUCUGUAGUUUUCGUACCUCAGAGGCGCUGAUGUUAAACUCAUCAUCGGAGUCCGAAGGACCAGGCAUAAUACACUGGUCCGAAAAUUAAGAAAACAAAUUUGGCUAACGACGCUCUCACUGACUGUAUCGAGUGCCAUCUCUCUCCUAAGAAUAUAAAGUGAAGUUAAUGUGCCUAAUCAUAGAGAGGAAUUGGCGAUAUUUUAAACAAAUUAAUUGAUUUUAAAUUUCUAGCCGAUUGAUAAGCCGUCGGUCGCUCUCAGACGGCGAGCACAUAUGUAAGGCGCAACGGAACAUGCAAAGCAAAUUAUGUUGGCAAAAAAGAGACGGGGACGAGCAAAAGGCGAGCAAAAUACCAAUAAGAGAACAAUAAGAGUCACGAUCUUUUUCGUGACUUUUAUUGGGUGCCAAUUUCUAAGCAAAUUGUAAUUAUUUUUGAAUUAAAUUCUAUAUGGAUUCAUUUUAUAAGAAACAUUUAUGCUAAAAGAUCAACCCCCCACCAUGUGGAUCAGGAAGUCUUUUUUUAAAUAAAAUUUAUUGGGAAACUAGAAGGUUAGUUUAUAUACAAUUAUACAUUAAGUGUUAUAUUUAUAAAUUUAAUUAAUUUUCUUAAGGUGGAAAAAAUUUACAUUUUUUAAAAGUACAAAGUAACGAAAAUUCUUAUUGCGAACCAAAUUUAUUUUUCCUUUUUUGUUAUAUUUUAAUCCUGUUAGAUAUAGAAUUAACCAACCUGUGCUGUGAUCUGAUCAAAACGUACUAAGUGUAUACUAAAUAAGAUUAAAUGUAAGUUAAAAAUAUUUUUUAACGUAUUAUAUUUUGCUACACGCCUUCUCAUGUUUUUUGUUU